rnacentral:rRNA from 1 species
UACGGAGGGGACUAGCGUUGUUCGGAAUUACUGGGCGUAAAGCGCGCGUAGGCGGCUUUGCAAGUCGGGUGUGAAAUCCCCAGGCUUAACCUGGGAACUGCAUUCGAGACUGCAUUGCUAGAGUAUGGGAGAGGGAAGUGGAAUUUCCGGUGUAGCGGUGAAAUGCGUAGAUAUCUGAAGGAACAUCAGUGGCGAAAGCGACUUCCUGGACGAAUACUGACGCUCAUGUGCGAAAGCGUGGGGAGCAAACAGG